GACGAACGCUGGCGGCGUGCCUAACACAUGCAAGUCGAACGGAGUGAUGAUUUCGGUUAUCACUUAGUGGCGAACGGGUGAGUAACGCGUGAGAAACCUGCCUUUCAGUGGGGGACAACAGUUGGAAACGACUGCUAAUACCGCAUAAUGUCAUUUGGGGGCAUCCCUGGAUGACCAAAGAUUUAUUGCUGAAAGAUGGGCUCGCGUCUGAUUAGCUGGAUGGCGGGGUAACGGCCCACCAUGGCGACGAUCAGUAGCCGGACUGAGAGGUUGAACGGCCACAUUGGGACUGAGAUACGGCCCAG
rnacentral:rRNA from 1 species